CCGGAAACUGCAGCCAAAAGUGACUAAGAACUACAGAUUUAACUGUUUGCGUCAUCACAGUAAGAUCUGCACUCCGUAAUUGUAAAAUAAUCUACAGUUUUACUGCAGUCCCUUUUGAUUUGAUGUGUUCAGAUUCGAAAGUAGUUCUGAAAGUAGUGAAGAGUCAGUAAAAAGUGUAAAUAAAGAGCAAUGCGGGGAUACAUUCUUAAAGAACACCUUGCACUGAAGUUCAUCUUCAGUUCUGUAUGACAACAAAAGGGUCCAAAUAUCUAAAUUUCUGAAAAAUAUGAGCUAAGUAUGAAAAUAAAGUAAGGUCAUUGUAAAAUAAAAUAUAAAAAAACUUAUUUUUUUAAUACUUGUAUCUUAAUUUAUGGGUAAGAGUUCCUUUGUGUGGCUAAACUCAUAUCCACAUGUCGCUCCAGUUUCCGACGGACCUUCGGGAACACCGAACCGAACAUUGGCGCGCUCGGGAGCCGAACGAGUCGGACUUUACGGUUCCGAAAACAAAUGACUGUGUCGACUCGCUGAUUUUUGUGGCGAUAUUUGUCGAAGUGAGCUUAGAGUGGCGGGAUUCUGGCUGUGGCUUGUAAACAUUCGAGUGUUAAUGCCCAUAAGAUUGGCGAUUUUUGCGUCGAUUUUUGGCGAUUCGGGGAGCCCGUGGCGCGUUUUGGCGAUUGCAGCGCCCCUCUCGGCGAUUCGGAGCACCCGGCGACACUGGCGCCGGCCGAGACGAGCGGCAGUCGCUCCAAGAUGGCGUCUUCAGCUUUCAUGUUCGUGUCGUCAGCCAAACGUUUUAGUGUUUACUGAAAAAGUCUGGGCCGCAAACAUCACGGUGGUUACCAUGUCAAUUUGGAAGUGCUAUUAUCACAGAGGAGUCGUGCUCACCGUGACGGCGACGGGCGGCAGCGACGCGACAGGUCUGGUCUGACUUAACCUCCUGCUCUGUACACAACUGUCCCAGAACUCCAAGCAACUGCAAUGAUGCUUCGAACUGUUUACGGAUUCCUAUGGACCAAUAAGAUGUUGGGCGUUCAAGUUCAAGUUACGGGUUUCAACUUAGCAGCCCAGGGGUGGCUUCACAUUCACAUCUGUCUACUGGUGUUCUAACAUCUGUCCUGGAGUAACCAUGAGUUGGCUGCUGAACGUUUCCGAUGCUUGAUGCUGUAACACACUCACUGACAAAUAUAAGAUUGCAUGUUGCUUGGCUGGAGACUUGAGAAUGGCAUUCUUCACCAUGAAACUGGACUUGACUUUGGAUAACCAACUACAUAAUUGAAAAGGGUAAUUUAUGAAGAAAAUUGUGUUUCGAAUGUUUUGUAUGGCCUGCUCUGUUGUUCAUUAAAAAUUGUAUGUUAUUCACCA
rnacentral:lncRNA from 1 species